UGAGUACGAGCUGCUACGGCAGCGAAGUGGGUGAUGUCAAGCUUCCAAGAAACCCCUAUACCCGUUAAGGCAUGACGGCCUGUACCCGAAACCGACACAGGUGGGUAGGUAGAGUAUACUAAGGGGCGCGAGAUAACUCUCUCUAAGGAACUCGGCAAAAUGACUCCGUAACUUCGGGAGAAGGAGUGCCUCAUUUAUAAGGUUGCAAUAACAAGAUCCAAGCAACUGUUUAUCAAAAGCACAGGUCUCCGCUAAGUCGUAAGACGAUGUAUGGGGGCUGACGCCUGCCCAGUGCCAGAAGGUUAAAGAAGUUGGUUAGUGUAUGCGAAGCUGAUGACUGAAGCCCUGGUGAACGGCGGCCGUAACAAUAACGGUCCUAAGGUAGCGAAAUUCCUUGUCGGGUAAGUUCCGACCCGCACGAAAGGCGUAAUGAUUUGGAUACUGUCUCGGAGAGAGGCUCGGUGAAAUAGACUUGUCUGUGAAGAUGCGGACUACCUGCACCAGGACAGAAAGACCCUAUGAAGCUUUACUGUAACUUGAAAUUGGAAUUGGACUUUGCUUGCGCAGUAUAGGUGGGAAGCGUUGAAAAUAUUCUUGCGGGAGUAUUGGAGCUAUCAGUGAGAUACCACUCUUGUAAUGUUAGAUUUCUAACUUUGAACCAUAAUCUGGUCAAAGAACAGUUUCAGGUGGGCAGUUUGACUGGGGCGGUCGCCUCCCAAAUGGUAACGGAGGCGUACAAAGGUUUCCUCUGAACGGAUAGAAAUCGUAUCUAGAGUGUAAAGGCAUAAGGAAGCUUGACUGUGAGACCUACAAGUCGAGCAGGGACGAAAGUCGGUCUUAGUGAUCUGACGGUACUGAGUGGAAAGGCCAUCACUCAACGGAUAAAAGUUACUCUAAGGAUAACAGGCUGAUCUCCCCCAAGAGUUCACAUCGACGGGGAGGUUUGGCACCUCGAUGUCGGCUCAUCGCAUCCUGGGGCGGUAGUACGUCCCAAGGGUUGGGCUGUUCGCCCCAAAAGCGGUACGCGAGCUGGGUUCAGAACGUCGUGAGACAGUUCGGUCCAUAUCCGGUGUAGGCGCUAGAAUAUUGAGAGGAGCCUUCUUUAGUACGAGAGGACCGAGAAGGACACACCGCUGGUGUACCAGUUAUCGUGCCAACGGUAAACGCUGGGUAGCUAUGUGUGGAGUGGAUAACCGCUGAAAGCAUCUAAGUGGGAAGCCCACCUCGAGAUGAG
rnacentral:rRNA from 1 species